rnacentral:lncRNA from 1 species
CCCACUACGGCGUGCAGCCCAAGCCACCCAUAACAUUUAUCGUCGAUGCCGCUCACUGGGGGUGUGUACAGACUCCGAAGGGGCUCCUACAGCCCAAGCACAAUAACAAGCCAUCUAGUGGCGAACAAUCAAACCUGGUCAGUCCAUGUUACCUGACCGCUCAUAUCAUACAGUGUCCAAGUUACCACUGUCCAAUCACCGCUGCG